ACAUGCAAUUCGAGCGGAAACGAUCCUAGCUUGCUAGGAGGCGUCGAGCGGCGGACGGGUGAGUAACGCGUGAGAAUCUACCCAUGAGUGGGGGACAACCCGGGGAAACUCGGGCUAAUACCGCAUACGCCCUACGGGGUAAAGCAGGGGACCUUCGGGCCUUGCGCUGAUGGAUGAGCUCGCGUCGGAUUAGCUUGUUGGUGAGGUAAAGGCUCACCAAGGCGACGAUCCGUAGCUGGUCUGAGAGGAUGAUCAGCCACACCGGGAGUGAGACACGGCCCGGACUCCUACGGGAGGCAGCAGUGGGGAAUCUUGGACAAUGGGGGCAACCCUGAUCCAGCCAUGCCGCGUGUGUGAAGAAGGCCUUCGGGUUGUAAAGCACUUUCAGCAGGGAGGAAGGCUUACCCCUAAUACGGGUGAGUACUUGACGUUACCUGCAGAAGAAGCACCGGCUAAUUUCGUGCCAGCAGCCGCGGUAAUACGAAAGGUGCAAGCGUUAAUCGGAAUUACUGGGCGUAAAGCGCGCGUAGGCGGUGUGUUAAGUCGGAUGUGAAAGCCCAGGGCUCAACCUUGGAAUUGCAUCCGAUACUGGCACGCUAGAGUGCAGUAGAGGGAGGUGGAAUUUCCGGUGUAGCGGUGAAAUGCGUAGAGAUCGGAAGGAACACCAGUGGCGAAGGCGGCCUCCUGGACUGACACAUACCCGAUGUUC
rnacentral:rRNA from 1 species